CUAAAAACGUUAACAUGUAUUACCGACACGCAAAACCUUAAAUUAAAGUGAAUAAAUGAAGACUCGGCACACCACUUCUGAAAGGUUGCCCACCCCUGGGUUAUACCAAACUAGAUUAGACUAACGGGCCACAGAAUCCAUUCAUCCCACAUUUUAUUCUGGCCCUUAAGGAAUCUGUCCUGACUAGCAGUGUGCACCAGGAAGGGAGGGAUACAACUUACUUUCUUGACCUCUGCAUUGGUCACCUAAUGCCCUGAAGCAUGAGAGUCAGCUCCUGCAAACUCACCCCCUUAUCUAAGCCUGCACAGAUCUGUUGAUCAUCAAGUCAUUGAAAGGACUUCAGUGAUACACUGCAGCCAAAGCUUAUGUGCUCCCUCCAAACAUGAAGUGCAACAGGUGCCAAGUGACCCAGCUAUGUGAAAUCCAGACCCUAUGCACAACAUACCCUGAUUCUGGUUUGGCAGGUGGGGGUAAAUCUCAGCGCAUAGGUAGGGCUUGCUGGAUUUGCUACGCAAAGCUACCGAGCUGCCUUGCCCCUUGGGCACACAGAGAAUAUUUCAUGAUGAUAAAAAAGGACAAAUUUCAGUGAUCUCCCCCCCCGUGUCUUUUUUUUUUUAAAUUCAGCUCUCCCCAUCAGCCCUCUCUAAAUGCUGCACUGCUACCUUGGCCAAGAGAGCCCUUCACUCUUCUGCAGGUGGCCAGAGGCCUUUCCCAGAUGGAGAAGCUGAGGAAGUAAAGGGUUUGAUUCUAGCAGACCAGCCCUAAGAGAGACAGACAGGCUGAUGGUAUGGAGCAGAAGGAAGGAAGAAGGAAGUGAACCGCUAUCACUUACUGUCGCUUGAGUGUCAGCUUCCGAAUGCGGAUCAGAUACUGUGUGAUCUUGGUGAAGCGCUGCUUGCAUUUGUGCCGGAUGAAGCGUGGCCAGUAGAUGAGGUUCUCAUCUAUCUCCUCCAAAGCUUUCUCAUAGUUCUUGCUCAGUCGGACCUGAUGGCGAGAAGGAGGAUGAAAAGCUUUGGAGCAGAAACAAUUUUGGGACAUUCUCACAAAGGGGAGUGGAGUUUAAGGUGGUUGUGGUGCUACACCACUUCUGCUCGGUUUUUUUUUCUAAAACCCAGCUGUCAAGAGGAAGGAUGUUCUUGCAGUUAAGACACUGGACUGGGACUCAGAAGAUCUGGCUUCUAAUCCCAGCUCUGCCACAGACUCCCUGUGUGACCUUGGGAAGUCAUUUAAUCUCUCUGGCUCUUAUUUCCUCUUCUAUAAAAUGGGCAAAUUCCCUUCCUACCCUUUUGUCUGCCUUGCCUAUUUAGACUGUAAGCUCUUUGAGGCAGGGACAGUCUCUUAUUAUGGGUGUGUUCUAACACAAAAGGAAUUCAGUCUGUAGCCCAUCUAUCUAAUCCUUGGUCUCUCUGCUGAUGCUACAUACAAAGGAUCCAGCUGUGGUGAUGGCUUUUGUGACGUGGACACUUGCGAAUGGAAUUAUGUCCCAGCAUCUCAUUUUACAGAUAGGCCAAUGAACAGCUGUCAGUCAGAUGAGAACUGAGGAUCAGACCAACUCAGAUCAGAUUUGAAAAAAAGAGGUUCAAGUCUAUGUAUUAACAAUCCCCAGAGCCAACCAGACCAGACACAUUCAAAGAAAAAAAUCCCUUGGCCAUUACUUCAAAGGAACACUUGUAAAAUGUUCCUGAUUUCGGAUUCUAUUGAUCAUAGGUUAGAUUACAAAUGAAAGCCUAGCAAUUUAGUCAGUGAUUCAUCCAUUCUGUGUUCUACCUAGUGUCUUAUACAGCCUCCAUCUCCAUGGUAUCUUCACCUCUCCCCAAGUCCUAUCCCAGUUAUACAGCUGAGGCACAGAGAGAUUCACAGAGUGUCUGUGGCAGAACUGAGAAUUGAACUCAAAUCUCCCAAGACCCAGCCUUGAGCUCUAACAUAGCAUUCCCUGGCUUUCUAAAGAAACAGUCAGUGUAAAAUGACAGAGCUAAUAGUCUGUGAAAAGCAGGGACUACGCUGCCGUUGGAUAUUUUCUUGGUGUAAGACAUUUCAUUAGGAGGUUAAGUGCCAUAAACUGCAGUGACACAAGGGUUCUGCAGGUCCAGUAUACUGCAUUCAUGCUCAGCAAUAGAGGAUAUGUUCUCUCCAGAACAGCUGGUGCUUUUAUUUUUAUACAUAUGUUGAAGACAAAUUAAAAUAAUGUGGACUAGAACAAUCUCAAGGUGGAAGUGUCUGUAUCCCAUUGCCAGUCCUGAGCUGUUUCCCCACGUCAGAACCUGCUCGUUAUACCACCCACACCUAGGGACAAAAACAUCAGGGUUGAUUUAGGUGGGUUUAAAACAGGAACACUUUGGAUAGGUUGUAAAUAGUGGAACAUUUUUUUUAAAAAACAACAGUGUCAUCUGUCAACUUGCUGGAUUAAGUUUCAGGUUCGGUACGGGAUUUAACUCACCCGCUCCCAGAGUCGAUUGGGGAAAGCCGCCCGCUCUAUUGUCUUCAUGUACA